rnacentral:rRNA from 1 species
CAGUAGCCGCGGGAAUACGUAGGGUGCGAGCGUUAAUCGGAAUUACUGGGCGCAAAGCGUGCGCAGGCGGUUUUGUAAGACAGGCGUGAAAUCCCCGGGCUCAACCUGGGAAUGGCGCUUGUGACUGCAAAGCUAGAGUGCGGCAGAGGGGGAUGGAAUUCCGCGUGUAGCAGUGAAAUGCGUAGAUAUGCGGAGGAACACCGAUGGCGAAGGCAAUCCCCUGGGCCUGCACUGACGCUCAUGCACGAAAGCGUGGGGAGCAAACAGGAUUAGAUACCCCUGUAGUCCCUGUCUCUUAUAC